AUGUGUCGUGCUCAUGCAGCUGCAGCGAAAAGACAAUGGGGUGAUGCUCACCUUCGCCGAGGAGAAGAUGCUCACCUUCUCGCCCCUCCCCCUACCGUGAUGUACGUGGAUGAAUCCGACGGCAACGAGGAUGACCUCGUAGGAUCCGGCCACGGUUGUGCGGAAUUUCACGGGGACGAAUCUACCCGGCUUCUCGUCCUAUCCGCCGCCGGUAGAGGCAUCCAUGUCCUUGGGGUUGGGUGCGACAACUCGCGACUCGAAGACAUUUCGUGCAUGUGCUCCCCUGCGCUUGGUGACCAAUACAUCUACUCCGUCAUGAACAUGUGCUUCGUGUCAUACAGGUCGCCUCCAAGGGUUAUGUGCAUUAUUGAUCAGCCAAUCUUGAGAGAGAGAUGGGUUGGCGUGAAUGGGAAGAAAACUACAUUGAAUGGACAAGAAUUUCCAUCAGUUUCACUUUACAUUUCUUCUUUGCUUUUUCAAGGCAUCGGGAUGCCCACUGCCGACGGUGCUGCAUUGCUACCAAAGGGGCACCCUGCCGCGGCUGGGGACUCGCUGCCGUCGAAGCACGACACCUUGCCGUCACGUAUGUUGGGUGUUGUGGUGCUGCAGAUUUGGUAUUGUUGUUCUGUUCACUUAACCCAGUCUGUAGCAGCAGCUUUUCAUGUCGUCUCCUCGCCAACAAAUGUCAUAAUUUAUCACUCUAUGAAGAAUUGCAAGGAGGAGGAUAAUAGAGCAGCAACGAGAGCUGACAAUUGGCCUGUAAAUGCAGCAAAGUUCUCCUAG
rnacentral:rRNA from 1 species